rnacentral:rRNA from 1 species
UACGAAGGGGGCUAGCGUUGCUCGGAAUCACUGGGCGGAAAGGGUGCGUAGGCGGGUCUUUAGGUCAGGGGUGAAAUCCUGGAGCUCAACUCCAGAACCGCCUUUGAUACUGAAGAUCUUGAGUUCGGGAGAGGUGAGUGGAACUGCGAGUGUAGAGGUGAAAUUCGUAGAUAUUCGCAAGAACACCAGUGGCGAAGGCGGCUCACUGGCCCGAUACUGACGCUGAGGCACGAAAGCGUGGGGAGCAAACAGG